rnacentral:rRNA from 1 species
GACGAACGCUGGCGGCGUGCUUAACACAUGCAAGUCGAACGGAAAGGCCCUGCUUGCAGGGUACUCGAGUGGCGAACGGGUGAGUAACACGUGGGUGAUCUGCCCUGCACUUCGGGAUAAGCCUGGGAAACUGGGUCUAAUACCGGAUAGGAGCCAUUUUUAGUGUGAUGGUUGGAAAGUUUUUUCGGUGUAGGAUGAGCUCGCGGCCUAUCAGCUUGUUGGUGGGGUAAUGGCCUACCAAGGCGGCGACGGGUAGCCGGCCUGAGAGGGUGGACGGCCACAUUGGGAAGGAGUUACGGCCCAGAUUCCUACGGGGGGAAGAAGUGGGGAAGAUUGAACAAUGGGCGCAAGCCUGAGGCAGCGACGCGGAGGGGGGGAUGUCGGCCUUGGGGUUGUAAACACCUUUCGAAAGGGACGAAGAUUUUUGGGACGGUACCUAGAGAAGAAGCACCGGCUAACAACGUG